AAAAUAGACUUUCUGUAUUGAGCAUUUCUUUUUACAACUACUUAAAUCCAUUCUGAAAUAUAAUAAAAAAAAGGUGUAAACCACUGCUGGAUUGAGGCAGAUGUAUUGCAAAAGCAUAUAAUGUAUCUUCAAGAUAAGAAAGUUAACUUAAGCAUAACUUUAACAUACGACCUUGAGCUAAUCAUAGACAUUGUGGAGUACCCAUUGAAGUAAACUGUCAUGUCGCAUAGUGUUGUAAAGUCAUAUUUCAUAUGAUUGCUCGCUAUAGGAAAUCACUCUCAAAAAAACUGUCAUUUGUCAGAGAAUUAAUAUCAGCACGAAAAGUAAUUUUUUUUAAUAAUUGUAUUACUUUAAGCAGUUUAUAAGUGGCUUUUCUGCAAAUUCUUUUGCUUUUAUACCUAUAGGCUGUUUUAUGAAAGUUAUGGUUUUUGUUUUUACGUAUAUUCAUGUGAUAUGGUAAUCUUUCUUUUGAUGACAGACUUUUUUUACAUAGUAAACAUAAGUUUUCUUGUUCCUCUUCGGUGAAAACUUCAAGAUUAGAAAGUUAACUUGAGCCUUAUUAUAACAUAUGAACUUGAGCUAAUCAUAGAGAUAGUGGAGUACCCAUCGAAGUAAACUGUCAUGCCGCAUAGUGUCGAACAGUCAUACGCUGUUCUAUUAUUUUUUAGAAUGAAGGGCUGUUUAGUCUGUUUGCUCUUCAUACAAACUUCACAGAUUGUAGGUAGUUCCUUUGUAUUGAAUUGAAUUCCAAAAACAACAUUCUUCAGUUUGUUCCAAUAAUGUCUAUUUGGAUGCCCCAUUCAUUUAUGCCAUAAUAUUCCGUCAAUAUUUGUCUUGACACAGCUGUUGACAUUAGUGCUAUUAUCUCGAGUAAAAAUUAAUUUGUAUAAUGUUUGGGUUCUUUUAGCUAUUGCUGUAAAAUUUCGAUUUGAAUUCAACACACCUUGUCCUUUUUAAAAAAAUAUUUUAAAAUUAAGUUCUUCAACUUAACCAAUAGACAACAAAUUAUAUCUUAAAUGUGGAACAUAAUAUACAUUUUUAAAUUUACUUAAAAUAGUCUUACUUUCUACUUUACUGUAAGCAUUUAUUGUACCUAUUUUCAUUUCGGUUAGAUUUUCUCCAUUUUUAGCUACACCUAUGAUCAUUAAAUUUGCUAGUACUUCCAAAGAUGAAAAAUAUCUGCCUGAAUCAAGAUAUGAUGUUAUUUCGUUUUUAUUCUUCAUUUCCUUGCGUUUGCUAGCAACAUGGUUACUGAAAAACACACACUUCCAUCAUUCUCUGAAACAUUGUUAGCUAUUUUUGUUUAUACAACUCUUUGGAUCUGUUUUUUCCUUUAUAUAACGUUUUCCUUUUUAGCUUAUAUUCAGCUGAUUUAUGUCCAACUCGAUCACAAGUAUAAUAUUUAAAAGAAAAUUUACCAGUAUUCUUUGAAUUAAACGCUGCACUGUUAGAGGAAGAUUCUUCAUUUAUAAUACUAUUACUUUUCUUUGUUUCUUCAUCUAGUAAACGACCUUUUACAAAUUCAAUUGUAAGAGUCUCUGGUGAAAGAGUUUCUAAUCUGUAACUACAUUGUUGUAAAUGUCAGACAUAGUAAGUAGUAGAUGACAAACAAUAUCCUCGUUCUCUAGUUUAACUCCUGCAGAUCUGAGUUGUCGUAUUAUCUCAUCAAACUUCACAAAAUGACUUUCUAAAUUUAUUUCACCGCUAUAUUUUAUAGUCAAUAAUCUCCUUCUCAAAUAGAAUUGACUGGUGAUCCCUUUUCGCUCAAAAGUUUUUAAUAGUGAAUUCUAAAUUUCUUUUGAUGUAUUCUCUCCCAUCACAUAUUAUAAAUGACUAUCAGCAAUACAUUGAACUAUAAGUGUCUUACAUCUAUUGUUUAUUUAAAAUAUAAUAAAUAUAGAAAUCAUAAGAAUGGUAUAGGUAAUAUAGAACUAGGCGAGUUAACCAUUGUGUUAUUGAUGUGUACUAAUAUAGGUAUCGGUUCCAGGUAACCUUGGUACUGGUCCCUGUUAAUUUUAUAUUUUUAUCUUAUAAAAUGUUUAAGAUAUCAAGACUUAAUUAUGUUAUUAAAUUAUUAUAUUAUAAUGAUAGGCUAUUUAAACUAUCAUACAUAAUGUAAAAUAAAAUAUUAUGUAAUGUAAGAAAUAAAUCCAUCAAUUAAUAACGGGAACAAUAUUUUAAUGUGAUAUCUACUCAUCGUAAGGAUAUGAUAUUUAAGCUAUCAUAUAUAGUUAAAAUAAAAUGUAUAAUCAAUGUUGUAAAAUAAUUAUAAUAAUUUAUAGCCAUUAAGUAUUAGAUUAAGUUGUUAGUAUUAACCAGAUUAAGAUAAUACAUUUACACACGCACACACACAUAGAUCUCCAGUUAUAAGGAGGCAGGCUACUUCUAAUCACCAGCAGUGUGUGUAUUGUUCCUGUUGCUUUUGGACAGAUGAUCACAAGCGAGUGUAAAGACUACGCAGAGAUUCUUACAAAAGCACGGGAACCUAGAACAGUGUUUUUUAUUUAUUUCGGUCACCUUUAUCAGAUUCAACAGAUCAUUUGCCGCCUGAAGGAGAAAGGUAAUCCAAUUUAUAAUCAACUUAUACGUGUGAAUCAAUUUUAUAUAAUUAGGCUGACCCCCCUAUAUAUUUUGAUUACUACAAUAUUAAGUUUAACAAAGAAAUAUGUAAGUAUUUUAUUUUCUAUUAAUAUUGUAAUGUAUUUUUGAGAUAGAACACAAAAAAGUAUAUUAUUGUAAUUAUAAUUUUUACAUUUUUGUAGUUUCAUGUUAUUUAUUUUUUUAUUAGUCAUAAAGACUGAUUAAAUGUUUAAUACGAAUAUAUUUUUCAAAAAAAAUUUACUUUUAUUUGUUGUACUAAUUGUGUAGUGUGGUUUUCAAAGAGUAGAACCACAUAAACAAUUUUUGUUUUUAUUUUUCAC